UACGUAGGGUGCAAGCGUUGUCCGGAAUUAUUGGGCGUAAAGAGCUCGUAGGUGGCGGGUCACGUCGGGUGUGAAAUCUUGGAGCUUAACUCCGAAACUGCAUUCGAUACUGCCGUGCUUGAGGACUGGAGAGGAGACUGGAAUUUACGGUGUAGCGGUGAAAUGCGUAGAUAUCGUAAGGAAGACCAGUGGCGAAGGCGGGUCUCUGGACAGUUCCUGACGCUGAGGCACGAAGGCCAGGGGAGCAAACGGG
rnacentral:rRNA from 1 species